rnacentral:rRNA from 1 species
GACGAACGCUGGCGGCGUGCUUAACACAUGCAAGUCGAACGGAAAGGCCCUGCUUUUGUGGGGUGCUCGAGUGGCGAACGGGUGAGUAACACGUGAGUAACCUGCCCUUGACUUUGGGAUAACUUCAGGAAACUGGGGCUAAUACCGGAUAGGAGCUCCUGCUGCAUGGUGGGGGUUGGAAAGUUUCGGCGGUUGGGGAUGGACUCGCGGCUUAUCAGCUUGUUGGUGGGGUAGUGGCUUACCAAGGCUUUGACGGGUAGCCGGCCUGGGAGGGUGACCGGGCCCAGUGGCACAGGGAAGGGGCCAGGGCGCAAUCGGGGGGAAGGGGGGGGAAAUUGAGCAAGCCGGGCCGAGGGUUGGAAGAAGAACUCCGGGUGGGGGAGGACGGCCUUGGGGGUGGAACCGCAUUUAGUUUGUAACGAGCGGUGGUGGCGGUAAAAGGGGAAAAAGCCCCGGCUAAAUUCGUG